AUGCAAGUCUGUCGCUUUUUUUUCAGUCUGUACAAGGUACAGACUAGAACAAUGCGUGGAUGGUGCCUUCUGAAUUCUGAUUCUGUCCGCAGCAGACUUCGUUUAGAUGAACUAUGCACGCUGCUUGAAGAUCAAUAUAAUUCUGUUGUCGUGAGAGGAAAUAUGUCUUGGCAAUUCAUCAACGUGUGGGUUCAGGCAGAAGGAGAGAGAGAAGAAACCACGAAAUGCAGCGGACGAGUAGAUUUUAUUACUAGCUCAUUCACAAAGCAAGAGACCAACAGUUCCCCACGUUUUCACUUGCUAGCUAGCUAG
rnacentral:rRNA from 1 species